AACUACGUGAAAAUAAAAAGGUGAUAG
rnacentral:sRNA from 1 species